CCUACGGGAGGCAGCAGUGGGGAAUAUUGGACAAUGGGGGGAACCCUGAUCCAGCGACGCCGCGUGAGUGAAGAAGUAUUUCGGUAUGUAAAGCUCUAUCAGCAGGGAAGAAAGAAAUGACGGUACCUGACUAAGUAGCCCCGGCUAACUACGUGCCAGCAGCCGCGGUAAUACGUAGGGGGCAAGCGUUAUCCGGAUUUACUGGGUGUAAAGGGAGCGUAGACGGCGAUGCAAGUCUGAAGUGAAAGGCGGGGGCUCAACCCCCGAACUGCUUUGGAAACUGUAUGGCUGGAGUGCAGGAGAGGUGAGUGGAAUUCCUGGUGUAGCGGUGAAAUGCGUAGAUAUUAGGAGGAACACCAGUGGCGAAGGCGGCUUACUGGACUGUAACUGACGUUGAGGCUCGAAAGCGUGGGGAGCAAACAGGAUUAGAUACCCCAGUAGUC
rnacentral:rRNA from 1 species